rnacentral:tRNA from 3 species
GCCUGUAUAGCUUAGUUUGGUAGAGCAGGAAACUCUUAAUUUCAAGGUCCAGAGUUCAAAUCUCUGUGCAGGCA